UGAGCCAGUCUGGGAUGGGUUUCUGAGUUUUGUCCUCCAUGAUCAUGAUCACCCUUAUUCCCCAGGUCCUCAGGUCUUGUCCACUCCCAACCACCCAAAAUGGCUGGUUCCUGGGCUGCUUCUCAGCCUGCUUGGCUUGACGGUCAUUGUUGCUGCUCUUCUGGGUUAUUUCAGACCCUGGAGAAGAGCAGAACAUCACCAGAAUGAGAAAGAUGAAGGUGUUAUCUACUCUAUGGUGUAUACAGGUCCAAAAAGGAGAAAAGGUGAGUAAUCAUGGGUCAAACUUGACAUCUUUGUAAAUAUCAAAGGGAAUUCCUGGGCCUACAUUGAAGGUAUCACUGCCACACCACCACUG
rnacentral:lncRNA from 1 species